AUGAUGAUGACGAACAAUCAGACUGACGACCAAGUAACCUUCUCUGGUUAUGCUGCUCCAUUGCGGGACGUGCUCUUGCAGAAGCCACUACUGCCCUCCCCUGGUUCGUCGCCUUCCCUGGAACUGGCAAACAGGCUUGGGACUUCACCAUCGACCAGAGCGGCAUUCACCUCAGAAAGGUGCACCGUUGCAUUAAGUAGCUCUGUGGCAUUAGUCAAUCUAUGGGGAUGUAAAGCAUACCAAAAUUUGGAUAGCCAAAUAUUUGGCAGGACAAUAUUUGGCUCAAACAUAGCAUCCCCAUUUAUUUUGGAUGAAAAUAUCUUUUAA
rnacentral:rRNA from 1 species